rnacentral:lncRNA from 1 species
AGCACAUAAUAGCACCCUCCGGACUGGAGACAGGAUCUUAGAGGUGUGUGGUGUGGACCUGAGAGAUGCCACCCACGAGCAGGCAGUGGAGGCCAUCCGCUGGGCUGGAGACUCUGUGGUCCUUCUGGUCCAAUCUGUACAACCAACAUCUCAGGUACCUUCACCAACAUUCGAUAGAAAGGAUCGAAGAAGCCCCCUCACCGUCAAGGCGCUGACCACAGCAGCAGCUGAAGAUGAGGACGACACAGGC